rnacentral:tRNA from 1 species
AAAAAUAUUCAACCUGCCGGAAUCGAACCAGCGACCUAAAGAUUUCUUUGGAAUUACCCAUUACAGUCUUCCGCUCUACCAACUGAGCUAAGGUCGGUUUGAUA